CGGGCUCGAACGGCAGAUGAACGAUGCGGAGACGCAAAGGACCUUCGGGACAUCUGUCGAGGUGCUGCAUGGUUGUCGUCAGCUCGUGUCGUGAGAUGUUGGCUCAAGUGCCAUAACGAGCGCAACCCUUGCCGCCAGUUACCAUCAGGCAAAGCUGGGGACUCUGGCGGGACUGCCACCGCAAGGUGCGAGGAAGGCGGGGAUGACGUCAAAUCAGCACGGCCCUUACGUCCGGGGCGACACACGUGUUACAAUGGCCGUUACAGAGGGAAGCCACCCGGCGACGGGGCGCGGAUCUCGAAAGACGGUCUCAGUUCGGAUCGGAGUCUGCAACCCGACUCCGUGAAGCUGGAUUCGCUAGUAAUCGCGCAUCAGCCAUGGCGCGGUGAAUACGUUCCCGGGCC
rnacentral:rRNA from 1 species